rnacentral:rRNA from 1 species
GACGAACGCUGGCGGCGUGCCUAAUACAUGCAAGUAGAACGCUGAAGAGAGGAGCUUACUCUUCUUGGAUGAGUUGCGAACGGGUGAGUAACGCGUAGGUAACCUGCCUUGUAGCGGGGGAUAACUAUUGGAAACGAUAGCUAAUACCGCAUAACAAUGGAUGACACAUGUCAUUUAUUUGAAAGACGCAAUUGCUCCACUACAAGAUGGACCUGCGUUGUAUUAGCUAGUAGGUGAGGUUAUGGCUCACCUAGGCGACGAUACAUAGCCGGCCUGAGAGGGGGGUCCGCCACACUGGGAAUGGAACACCGGCCAGACCCCUAAGGGAAGGAACAAUAGGGGAUCUUCGGGAAUGGGGGCAACGCUGACCGAGCAACGCCGCGGGGGUGGAGAAGGUUUUCGGAUCGGAAAGCUCUGUUGUAAGUGGAGAAAGGGUGUGGGAGUGGAAAGUUCACACUGUGACGGUAGCUUACCAGAAAGGGACGGCUAACUACGUG